AUGACUAGAACUCCAGUGUUAGCACUUCCAGAUUUCAAUCAAUCUUUUACAAUCGAAACAGAUGCUUCAGACAUCAGGAUUGGAGCCAUUCUGUCCCAGAAUAAUCAUCCAAUUGCCUUUCUGAGCAGAGCAUUAGGGGUGGCAAACCGACAAUUGUCGGUGUACGAGAAGGAGUUUCUCGCAGUUAUUAUGGCAGUCGAGAAAUGGCUUCCUUAUUUACAGCGAGGGCCCUUCAUGAUUGUUAUAGACCACAAAAGUCUUUGCCAUUUGCAGGAACAACACCUCACCGCUAAUCUUCAGCGCAAGGCUAUGGCUAAAAUGGUGGGCCUCCAAUUUCAAUUCAAAUAUCGCAAGGGCUCCGAGAACGGUGCUGCCGAUGCACUGUCCAGGGUAGGGCAUCUAUACACCAUCUCAGCAGUCUCUAGUUGUCAGCCGUUGUGGAUACAGGAAGUCUUGAAUUCUUACCAGACAGAUGCAGGAGCAUUGGCUCGAUUGACACGUCUAGCAGUGCACACUCCCGAUGAACAAGGUAUUCACUUGAUCAAGGUCUAA
rnacentral:rRNA from 1 species